rnacentral:lncRNA from 1 species
UGGAACGUUUGCCCCAGGAGUACUCACCAGUCAUCGGAGUUCACUAGUCCUUGGUCACAUACGUUUCUGGUAAUUCUCAGAGAAGCAAGGUGUUGAGGGAGGGGAAAUUGCCAGCAGGUUUGACUGGAACAAACUCCAAGGAAACCCGUGGACAGCCUUUAAUAAAACUUGACCCAGAACCUCCACAGUUAGGAAAGGGGAGAGUACCUCCACGUGUGGAAGCAAACAGUUGGGGUCAUGAGCUAUAGCCAGCCCCCUAGUCUAUUGGGUGAUUCUAGCCUCCUGUGCCCACUUUGGUGGAUCUGGCCUCCAUUAUACUGAAGACAGCCUGUACAUCUACCUCCAGAAACAUUAUCUAUUAUUAUUUACAGAAGGGAGAGGGAAAUAAAUUCUUGUAGAUGCUGUGAACAUGACAAAACCCCAGGUGGGGUGUGAAGCAAGUAGGAAAACUGACAUAAAAUUUAAGGUCACAGUACCACAGUACCA